rnacentral:sRNA from 1 species
UCACGUAAUGCGCUUAAGGUCUCAUCGU